CAUAUACUCCCUCCAUUCCGAAUUACUUGUCGCGGGUAUGGAUGUAUCUAGAUGUAUUUUAGUUCUAGAUACAUCCAUUUCUGCGACGAGUAAUUUGGAACGGAGGGAGUACUUA
rnacentral:pre_miRNA from 1 species